UAGAUUAGUAGGUUCUGGGGUUUGAUAACAGAUGGAUGGAGCUGUGCUGGUUAGAUUAGUAGGUUCUGGGGUCUGAUAACAGAUGGAUGGUGCUGUGCUAGUUAGAUUAGUAGGUUCUGGGGUCUGAUAACAAAUGGAUGGAGCUGUGCUGGUUAGAUUAGUAGGUUCUGGGGGUUGAUAACAGAUGGACGGUGCUGUGCUGGUUAGAUUAGUAGGUUUUG